rnacentral:tRNA from 1 species
GAGUGUAGCUCAAUUGGUAGAGCAUCUGCUUGCCAUGCAGAAGGUCGUGGGUUCGAGGCCCAUCAC